UGCAAAAUGUAUUUAGUCCCAACUUCAAAA
rnacentral:piRNA from 1 species